CUGCGGGUUGCUGCAGUGGGGAAUAUUGCACAAUGGGCGAAAGCCUGAUGCAGCAACGCCGCGUGGAGGAUGACACAUUUCGGUGCGUAAACUCCUUUUAUAUAAGAAGAUAAUGACGGUAUUAUAUGAAUAAGCACCGGCUAACUCCGUGCCAGCAGCCGCGGUAAUACGGGGGGUGCAAGCGUUACUCGGAAUCACUGGGCGUAAAGAGCAUGUAGGCGGGAUGACAAGUUGGAAGUGAAAUCCUAUGGCUUAACCAUAGAACUGCUUCCAAAACUGUCUUCCUAGAGUAUGGGAGAGGUAGAUGGAAUUUCUGGUGUAGGGGUAAAAUCCGUAGAGAUCAGAAGGAAUACCGAUUGCGAAGGCGAUCUACUGGAACAUUACUGACGCUCAGAUGCGAAAGCGUGGGGAGCAAACAGGAUUAGAUACCCUAGUAGUC
rnacentral:rRNA from 1 species